rnacentral:lncRNA from 1 species
CUUGCCAGGAAGGCCUGCAGCAAGACCGGCGUUAGCUCCGGUGUAGGGAAUCCCAGCGAUUGCUUGUUUCAAACAGUUGCACACGCUCUGGCGGUCAGGGGUGGUUUGAGCCAUGCCAUAGAGGGCCCUGAUCCCGCCGCAGCAAUUCGCCGCGGGAGUCCCACCGUUUUGGACGUAGGAAACACAAGGCAUCAGCUUGUUCACCACCUGACCGCACGUAAGGGCUGCUUCGGCACCACCAAUCGAUAGUGCUGCCGCCAUGGACAGCACCACCAAGAACACCACCUUUUGAACUCCAGAGAACGCCAUUCCUAUGUCGUAGAGAUAAUAUGCUUCAAAAUACUAGAACUUACUCAAGUGUGUAGAGAGUAGAAGCUAGCCAGUGAAGUAGUGUGAGUUGAAUGGUCUAAGGAAUGCUGUAUAUAUAGAAUAUCUUACUCAGUGUAUUCAUGGUGAUGGGUAAAUCGGUAGUUGGCGGAAUUGAAAUCUUCAGAUGAGAUUGGUUGAGCAUUAUAAAUGCUAAUAGCUAGAACUGGUAUACUUGGAUUCAUAGAUAUAUAUAUAUAUAUAUAUAUAUAUAUAUAUAUUUGUUGAUANNNNNNNNNNNNNNNNNNNNNNNNNNNNNNNNNNNNNNNNNNNNNNNNNNNNNNNNNNNNNNNNNNNNNNNNNNNNNNNNNNNNNNNNNNNNNNNNNNNNNNNNNNNNNNNNNNNNNNNNNNNNNNNNNNNNNNNNNNNNNNNNNNNNNNNNNNNNNNNNNNNNNNNNNNNNNNNNNNNNNNNNNNNNNNNNNNNNNNNNNNNNNNNNNNNNNNNNNNNNNNNNNNNNNNNNNNNNNNNNNNNNNNNNNNNNNNNNNNNNNNNNNNNNNNNCGCCACUAUCCGGGAUUCCCGCAAGCCUACGGCACACUUUGUUUCUAGAUCACGAUUAUGAUUUAUGUGCGUGCAAAGGUUGAUUAGGGUUAACUACUUCAUUAAGAUUUAACCACCUUCUGGCUACGGCACCGCAAAUUAUUAUGUGUACAAUAACUUCGGUAAAUCAUGUCGAUCUGGGAUGACGAAUUAUCAUAUUUUAUAUGUGGUGAGUUUAAUGUGGAAUGAUUAAUUUGAUUGAGCAAACAGUAAUUCAGUUACUUAUGGGCCACGUGGUGUUCCCAGUAAAGGGAAUACUUACUAUAAGUGAACCCAAUUUGUUUCGAAGACAUGAAUCAAUGAAUACAAUCUGAAUAAAAUUUGGAUAUACACAAAUUUUUGAGAAUACAAAUCCCACAAGUGAAUAUGGUAUAUCACAUUAUAUUAAUUAGGUCAGCUUCAUCUUUCAUCACUUGAUUUUAGUUAAGCUCACAUAUAUUUCUUCAUCUAUACCUGACGAGUCAUUUGUUGAGUUUGUCCAGAUCACAAUUUAGGCCUUCUGUGGUUUGCAACUUUGCACUUAAUCCAUCUUGUACGUACAUGCUAAGUCACAUUUUAGCUAAGUGCAUGAUUAACCAAAUUUGAAACUAGAUUAACAUCUUUUGAUUACCUUUUGGCCACACCCAUUUUGCCAUGAUGUGAUCAGCUCCUCACAUAUAUAUACUACGUUGCAUACGUUGCUUGGUAUAUUAUGUAAGGUAGACCGAAGUUGAACACACAUAAGUUCAAAUAUAACCACAAGUACUAAACUAUAUGACUUUUUGUAUGUUAGUUUAUUUUGGUUCAUCUCCGAGUUCAGCACCUUCAGGAUAUAUUUAGAAAUUGUUACUACAAAUAUGUCUUCUUAUAAUUGAAAGAUAAAACACAGAUCUUGUGGAGAGACUUGUUCUAACAACCAUAAGACAUAAACCAAAGCUACUCGAUCUUCAUGCUAAGGACGUACUUCACAAACUUCCAUUUUAUUCGAUCUACUGCACACUUGAUGAGAUUUCAAGUACUUCAAUGGAUCCUGCAUGCAUCAGAAUACACAAUGAAAAACAAAACAUCGAAUUAGCUCAAUUAGGACAUUUGUGUUCAUAAUGAAAAUAGACAAUACGUUGUUUCUAGUUACGUACGUGUUACAAUCGGUGUCCGGCUUAAUUAUGUAAGGAAGCCUUACACCACACCGGAUUGGGAGACCAGCCACGAGGUUAAGCUUGAGUCCACCAGUGCCUCGAACAGCAGCAACCAAGCACCAGCAAACGGACUGGCGAUCGCCGGAGGUCUUAGCCGAGUUGCUAAGGUACCUGACUCCAUUGCAACACGGUACGGUGGAGGGACAUUGAAGGUCCUGGGGGGGGGGGAAUAGGCAUUUAUUACUUUUUCGUUCAAUUCCAUUCACAAGGAUAGUAAACAUUUAGCUAUCCUGAUAACAGGGAGAUGUAGUAAUAAAUAAAAGAACAAGUACUGGAAAGUAAAAGAAAUAACACCAGUACGUUUUUUAUUCGCAGAAACUCUGCACCAUGGAGAAAAACUGCGUGCCCCUAACUUUUGAGGGACAAACCUUUCCACUACCACUAUGUAAAACUCACUUCUUACAAGAUUAUAGUCUAGGGAUACAACGACGAUUUGCAAUCCUGCCUAGUCUACCCACUAGUCUAGAUCUAUCUCUCCUGUCUCUGAGUGACUCACCUCACUCCUCACAAGAUUAUAGUCUAGGUAUACAACAACUACUUGCUAUCCUGCCUAGUCUACCUACUAGUCUAGACCUACCUCUCUUGUCUCUCAAGUGUUUACAUAUGAAUGUAUUAGAAGAAGUUUCAACUCAGAACUCAGCUAACGCCUUUAACUGAUUUUUCUUGAACACUUCUCAGAAUACUCAACUCAGAACUCAGCUAUCCUAAUGAGAGGGAUUCUUCAGACUUCAGCUAACACCUUUAACUGACUCUCUAGAACUCAGCUCUCCUCGAUCAACUGAUCCUUCUUGAGUACUUCUGGGGUUGCUGCACUACCAUCACUCAUGAUAUGCAGAAUGCUAAUGGGUUUAUGAAAAGAGUUUUUGCUUUUGCUCUUGCUCUAAGAUUUACAAUCACCAAGGGAAGACUUAGAGGCAAAUGAGCAAUGCAAGGUAAAACCUAGACCCAGCUAAAACAAUGUAGAAAACUACAUUUUGAACAACCAAGGAGCAAGAAGAGACUUGCUCCAUAUAUAUAGGCAAAGUGCAAGCUAAAGGAGAGCAUGCCCGUUUACCAAAAUGGGAGGCAACUUUUGGACUUUAGUCCUUGUCCAAACUCAUAAAGUGAGAGGGCCAAGGGAUAAACAAAAGGCUCCAAGAGAGUAAAGACAAACACAACUCUCUUAUAUGAUAAUGGUCCAAUAAGAAAGAAACAAAAGGUUUUGUGAAUGAAGGAGACACAACAAAACCUAUUCUUAUACGAGGACACAUAGGCCAGCUGAUAGCUUGGGCAGUGCAUCACAUGGCUCAGCAACUGACUUGGUUUGAGUAUCACAAAACCUAGCUGGACUCAAAAAGGAGCUGACCUAAAAGUGUUUUAGUCAUGUGCUCAUGGGUUGGAAGAACAACACAACCCUAGACUAACUUGGAGCUCAAGCACGAUGAAAAAUGUUUUGCUAAAAGAGAUUUGAAAUUCAAAUAAUGAAAAGCUGAAGCAAAACCAUUUAAAUCUGCACGAAGUCAGACUCAGAGAUUAGGAUAGAUACAACAAGGGUAUCCACCAAAUCUGGAUGGCAAGCAGAGCUGCCAUCCUGAAUGAAUGUGAUGCACAUGCAUGAACUACCUGAUGUACAUGAGAUAAAAACAAAGAGCCAGCUAAUAUAUUAGUUUGUGUAUCACAAACCUAGCUGGAGCCUCUAAGCUCUAGUCAUGUGGUCACGGGUUGGAAACACUACACAACCCUAGACUGACUUGAAGCACCAAGGCAACGACAAAUGUAUUGCUAAAGGGGAUUUGAAUUCAAACAGGGGAAUUCAAACUAAUGAUACACAAAUACCAAAAGCAUUUAGACAUGUAUACAUAUAGACCCAAUAGAUUAGGACAGAUACACCAAGAGAUAUCAUCUGAUCUAGGAGGACAAGCAAAGCUGCCAUUCUCAGUGAAAAACAUGAGAUGCAUAUGCAUAAACUACCUGAUGUACAUGAGAUAUUGGCAGAUCUUCAUUCUUCACUUGUGAUAUCCUUACCAUCAGGAUAUGUAGAAUUCUCAGUGAAAAGCAUCAGAUGCAUAUGCACCAGUUACCUAGGACACAUGUGAUAUUGUCAAGUCUUCAUUCUUCACUUGUGAUAUCCUUACCAUCAGGAUAUAUAAAAUAGCUUGUGUCCUGUAUUUUGAUCAUAAAAGGGAUAGCCAACAAUCUUUAUACCAACAGACAUUUCCACCGUUCUGCAGGUAAACUAUGCAUGGUCUCACGCUUUGUGAUACCUGACCACAUGUGACGGUGUGGGCCGGUACCGGUGCACGAGCAACCACCAGGCACAUGAGGACCACGAAGGCCAACCUAGAACUUGUCAUGGAUGUGUCGGUAGGGAAGGCCGGACCUAGCUAGUUUAUACUGUUUCUGGAUUUAUGCCUAACUUGUGAUACUGGUAUGCCAUGUCGAACAUUUGGUACUGGUGGUUUCAUAAAUGAAAAUGUUAAAACGUGGGAAUGUGAAAGAGUGACACGAAAUAGGAUUGUAUCAGUUGGGAGCUAGCUAACUCGGCGCUAUAGAUUGAAUUCUGUUAAUUAUACUUGUUGUUUAGCACCUUAGGUAAUAUAGAUGACUAGAAAUGUUUGUCUCCACCGUCUGUAUUUUUUCACAGAACAAUUGAAUCUGAUUAUAUGUCCUUAAGGUGUGAGAUUGAAUCUGAUUUUAGUUUGAGUUACAACUUACAACUGAGAUCGAGUUAAACUUUAAAAAACAAUGGAUAAAAUUAAGUUUGAGACUUUGAGGUGAGAUAUAAUUGAGUCAGAUAACACAUUGUUUUUUAACAAACUACUGUUUAAUUUUAAUUACGAUUGUUACUACAACAAAGUAUAAUGAAAAUCCCAUUCUUGAUUAUAGCCUAUGAAUUACAAGUGAGAUUGAGUUAUACUAUGAUUUGAGGUACUAGCUAGCUGGAAGACAAAACGAGUACACAUUUUAAAAGCUUUUUGUUGAUCGACUGCUUAAAGCCAUUCAUUAUCUCAAACACAAAGUGCAACUGGAACGAGAUGGAAAGCUAGCUUGUCUGAAGUCUAAGCAAAGAAAUAAAGCAGAGAGCCUAAUCCAAAUUUCAAAUUUGUAGUAUUAUAAAUAAACGAGUACAUUACAUGGAUCAUAACUUCAGAAGUUCAUAACCUAGUAGAUUAUGGAGUAACUUUUGGUAAUACUAUCACUGUGGACGUGAUCACCCACACUUUAUUUAACGCUCGAUACUAUCACUUCAAGGGAAGUUUACUUUCCAUCGAUUUAGCUCUUCACUUCACGCUGCAUCACCAAAAGAAGAAAACCAUGAAAUUAGCUCCGGUGUUCCGUUUGAGAAAAACACGUACAACAUAAAAACUAAAAGCAAUUGCCAAUUCGAUCGAGAAGAAUAUGAUCGAGUGUACUUACGCAGCGCAGUUGGUGGAGGUGCUGAUCUUGUACGGAACGCUAACCCCACACUUGCCUGGAAGCCCAGCUGCAAGGCUAGGGUUGAGUCCUUUGAUGGCACCGGAGGCCUGUUUGAGGCAAUUGCAGGUGGCCUGGCGGUCAGCAGUGGUCUUAGCCGCGCUGUUAAGGGAUCUAAUUCCGUUGCAGCAAGCGGCAGGGACAGCGCCGCCACUCUUCACGUAGUUUACGCAAGGUGAAAUGCUACUCGCUACUUGGCCGCAGGUGAUGGCUUGGGCUAUGGGCAAAGCAACAACAAUGCACAAGAGAGCGACCAAAGAAAGCUUCAUAGCAGUAGAGCUAGCCAUAUUGCAGUCUUAGCUAGGAUGAUGAGCUUGGAAUAUAUGGGUAUGUAAUGACUUGUUUUUGAGAGCUCGAGUGAGUAGUGAAGGUAACCCGGAUGGGGAUUAUAUAGGGAAGGGGAUGGGGUGAGUCUCUAACUAAGUUUCCUUACUCCUUGGGUCGAUCACAUCAAUAUCAUCACUUAAUAGUUAUUAGUUUUGUUGAUGAAAAUGCCACAUGUUUUAAUUUUAAACCAUUAGAAACUUCUGGACCACGUACAAGUUCAAUUUCAGUGUUAGAGUUAUAUGACUUUCAGCAUUUUUUUUUGUUAGAAACUGGUAAAAAUAGUAUCUAAAUUACGUUUGCAUGCACUAUAACUUGUUAUCUUCUUCUUCUUUCUUCUUCUUCUUCAUGAAAUUGAAAAUACUUUCUCCAACAUAGAAAAUGAAUUCUCUUUCUGUUAGGAAUAACGAGAAUAAUUGUAAGCAGAGAAUGCAUUUUCCUUCAUCAAUAGUGAAACAUCGAACAAUAAGGUUAGUGUGAUAUAUCUAUCAAAUUAUAAAUGUCAUUACUCAAAGUGUGUACGUGUAGGAGGAGUUGGGAGGUAGUUAGGUGGCAGUUGUGCUCGAUUUAAUGCUUUGGUACUGUAUAACUUUGGUUUUUAGAUAUAGUUGAGCACGUCCCUUCACAAUAAAAUGGCAAUAUAUAUGAUAUCCUAUUGAAGGAACAACCUCGAUCGUUAUAUUUCAACCCCCUUCUUGAAAAAUAUACACAUAUGCAAACCGACUAAAUAAUUUCAACUAAUGGACAAAUUAAUUGAAGAAGUAUGAACUUUGAACUACUGAAAAUCUACUACUUGUUGGAGACAACUAAGAGCAACCAAAUAGAAGGUCGAUAAGGAUUCGUUAUAGAAAAUAUGUAAACGGAAUAAAAAAUUAUGCAACCAUCUAUCUUAACAUAUAUAUAUAUAUAUAUAUAUAUAUAGGAUUUUUCUCAGCUACAAACGUCUGCACCAAUGGUUUUGGUGCGGAUUUUCAUUUUUGCACCACUUUUCAAUCGAAUUUCCUCAUCUCCACCGUCUACUAUCUAGAUAAUAUUGUGUAGAUCAUCUCUGCAAAAUUUCAGCCAAUUUAAUAAUCGUUAAGGCCCUCAAAAUUGUGUCUUUAUGUUAUAAACAUGAACGGUUCAUGUUUGACAGAAUUCAGUCCGUCUAUUUGUUUUUCGAGUUUGAGGGCCUUAACGAUUACCAAAUUGGUUGAAAUUUUACAAAGAUGAUCUAAACAAUAUUAUCUAGAUAAUAGACGGUGGAGAUGAGGAAAUUCGAUCGAAAAGUGGUGCAAAAAUGAAAAUCCGCACCAAAACCAUUGGUGCGGACGUUUGUAGCCAAGAAGCCCUGUGUGUGUAUAUAUAUAUAUAUAGGCCGGAUAUGAAGCGGACGUCCGCACCGGCCUUAAAGUGCGGACGUCUGUCCGUUCUCCACCCUCCGACGCCGGCGACGACGUGCCUCCACCACAAAAGACUCCAGCAGCGUCCCCGACCACUUUCCCUCCCCGGCGAGUCCGUUCUUUUCUAGUUUUCUAGCGAGAUCACCCAAAACUUCAAACAAAGUCGAUCUCGCCGGAAAACUGAAAAAAACGGACUCGCCGGGGAGGGAAAGUGGUCGAGGACACUGCUGAAGUCUUCUGGAGUGGAGGUGCGCUGUCGCCGGUGCCGGAGGGUGGAGAACAGACGGACGUCCGCACUUUAAGCCGAGUGCGGAUGUCCGCUUCUCAUCCUCUAUAUAUAUAAACAUUCGACAAUUAACUACGAUUUCUAAUCAGUGACAGACUCAAAGAUUAAAGUUGGGGUGUCACUAUAUGUUAUUAAGUAUUAACCUAAGCAUGAACUCAUUUGAAUCAACUUACAAAGAGACAUAUAUACAAGCCAAAUUGUGGGGUGUCAUGGCCCCUUUUGGUCUUCAAAUAGCUCUGCCAAUACUUCUGAUUCAAAUUACUGUAUCAUAACUGAACUUUGCAACGGACAACAUAACACAUAAUCGAGUAGCAGACAAUUGUAAGCGAGCAACAAUGACUUAUGGAUUUAUGGGAAGCAGAUCUGUUGAUUCGUAACCGAAGAAGAAAUUUCUUGGGUUUGUUGUUACAAUUUGGGGGAAGUAAAUGAAUUGGGGAACAAAAUUAAUUUUGGAUGAGAUGAUCAGAAUAAUCAGACCGAUGCUAAAGAAUGUUGUAAAUAUUAUAAUAUAUGUGGAUGUCCUUGUAAAUACUCAUUAGUUAUGUCCUUAAGAUGUAAAUCAUACUCCUAUAUAAAGGAGCCUAAUGAGAAUGAAAGUGACACUUCUUCCUCCUCCUACAUUUUGUUCUUCUCUUUUUUCUCUAUCUCAUUCUUAGUUUAUAACACGUUAUCAGCACGAUUUCGCUCAUUUGUUCCAUAAACUCCAUAACGAUCUAUGAGAUAUUGGUGCAACUUUUGUUGCUUAUUAUCCAUACUCACGAUCUAUGAGUUCACUUCUAUUUUGAUUAUAUCUUGUCUACAUAUAUACUUUGUUUAUAUUACUUAAUUCUAUGUUUACAAUUGCUUAUAUUAGUGAGCCUGAAGUUUCGUUAAUAAUUCUCAAAUAUGGAAUUUUUGAGAUUAUGAACCUGAAGUUCAAAUAUUAUAGUAGACUUGCAAUUCUAAUUGUUUGCAUAAACCUGAAGUUUUGUGCAUGUACAUGUGAUCCAUUGUUCACAAAAUUCGAACCUGAAGUUUCGAUAUUGAUAUUACUUUCAUAUGAACAUGAAGUUUUAAACAACAUAAUUAGAUCCAUGAUGAUCGAUGUGGUCUUGAAAAAGAGUCUGAAGGACAUGUAUCUAACGGUGAGAUAUCCGCUUGAGUUUUGCCAAACAUCGGUUGAUCAGUUACCAAGAGCAUGAUAUGAAUGGAUGCUUUUGCGCCUUCUAAUAUGGAUCAUGAUAUGGCUAUAGUUAUGGCUUAACCAUUUUCGGCCCAUUGACGCAUGUCCUAUAAUUUAGUGGCAAUUUACAAAGCCCUUUUUGAAUGGCAAUAAGACCAAAAUUAAUCAUAUUAAUCAGUCUCUUGAGAAAUCUGAGCCAUGAGUGGAUGUCACUUCACCUAAGUUGACAAUGUUUUUGUGGCUAUAUUGAAAUGUUAAAGACAUGAUCAAUGGGGGUGUUCUUAACACCGAUUAAUAUUAAGCCUAUCAUAAUGGAAUUUUGGACACCGAGUUAUUGUGAUUGAUAUGAGUGCCUUCAAUUAAGGUUAUUAUACGAGUGCAUAUGGUUAAUUUUCUUCCCAAUAAGUGCACAUAAAUAUUUUUCAGGUCAUUAAUCUAGCAAUCAAAUGUCAUUGUUCACAAUUAUAUGCACCAUUUACAAGCAUUUAUAUAUACCAAAUUUCAGUUAUUAAUAACAUGGAAAUUCAUCGGUUUCUUUAUGCGGUUUUUCCCAUUAACAGCCCAAAACAUCAUCAUUCUUAGGUUUUGAAUUAUAUGUAUAUUAAUUACAUUUUAUUGGUUUCAUUACCUAGCCUGGAUGGAUGUUUCCAUAAUAAGUAGUAGUUUUGGAAUUUUAUGACCAUUGAUAACCUCUAUUUAUUGUUUUAUCAAUUCAGGUCUAGUAAUUGGUUUUUUACAGCCUUUUUGUUGUGGUAUUAGUCUUUCAUGAAACUUAUUGUUUUCAUAAUAUCAGAUUUAUUAAAGGGACUAAGGUAUGUAUUUUCCCAUUUCAUUAUUUGCAUGAAUUUAAUCUAUUCAUUUCACGACAUUCUUCGUUUUAUGAAUUCCGAGAGAAUUACAGUGAACUCCAUAAUUGAAACUUGAAGCCUCUUUAUCCAACUACAGAGGGCCUGAAGUUCCUCACGAGUAUUUUAUGAAUUCCGAGAGAAUUACAGUGAACUCCAUAAUUGAGACAUGAAGCCUCUUUAUCUAACUAUAGAGGGCCUGAAGUUCCUCUCGAGUAAUAUGAUAAAUGGGGAGAUGUAGGGUAUCAUAGUAACACUAUGGACAUAAAUGAAGGACAUAAAAGGUGUUCUCCAGUGACCAUGUUUCUCGGUCCUUUGUAGGCCGAGACUUCCUCGCUUUAUACUUGAGUGGAAAGAUUAAAGGUUAUGAUAGAAAAAGGGCACAUAUAUUGUUUUCUUUCCUCUGCCGGUUGCAUCUUUUGUGAUGUUGUCCAGAGUAUCUGACCAUUGGCAAGAUGUUUUUGCUAGAAAUCUGACUACCGGCAGUUUUUUUUCUGAUCACUCAUCUUAUUGAAAGAUGGUCCUUAUGCAUAUUUAUGAGAAUUGGAGGAAACACGUAGCUAUUUAAGCUCUGCAUGUACCCAUUGCAAAUACACUCAUUGUGCAUGUCAUGAGAAUAUGACUAAUUCGGCCCACAUAUAUUAAAGAAACAAUAUCAUGGUAUGAGAUUAUGAAAUUCAAGUAUGUUUUAUUUUUCUUAACCUUAUUCGGUUUUAUAAUUAAAAUUGAUCGAAACCUGGAGUUUCUUGAUCAAACUAUAUGAGGGCCUGAAGUUCUUUGAAAGUGAUAUUGUCAAAUUAUUGAAAUGAAGUUUCUCAAAACUUAUGUAAUCAACAAGGACCAGAAGCUCCUUAGAGCUAUACAAUAUGGUUUUCUUGUGAUCCACAAUUAUAUGAGAGCAUGAAGCUCCAAUUUAUUUUGAUACAAUGUUAUUGUGAAAUUAGAGGAGAGAAACAAGAUUAUCAUAUUCGUGAAGGUAACUAGACCAGAAGUUCUUGUACUUUUUCACCAAUAGAACUAUAUGUUUCCAUUCUCAGAUUUUACUUAUCCUUGUUCCUUACCAUUUUAGAGUUUGUUAAUUAUUUUCCUCUUCUAAAUUUUAUUGUUACUCAUACGGGCCAGCAACUUUAUAGCACGAACGUAUGAAUUUCAAAUGUCAUGUUUUUGAACCAGAAGUUCAAAUUACUGAAUUAUAGAACAUAAGAAUUCCAGAUAACGUGUAAAUUAAAAGCUCAAGCCCGAACCUGAGUAUGUAAAUUAAAUUAGUGAACUUGAAGUUUCAGUUCAGUUAUCUGGAACCUGAAGUUUCCGGCACCAAAUUUAUUUGAACUAGAAGUUCAACAUAUGAAAUCUGAGUACUUGAAGUUCUAACAUUAUAAAUUUGAACUUGAAGAUUCGAUUACACAUAUGAUUGAUGGCUCCGGAAUAGCACAUAAUAUCCCCUCUUUACAAGAAGUGGCUUCAAUAUGGUUCCAAAAUAUGUAUUGAGAUCCCACAUCGCCCGAAGGAGGGGAGAAGAUGUGUUGCAAACAUACCUCCCCAUAGUGAGACUAAUUUUGGGUUGGCAAUUCAAGCACAAAAUUGUAAAGCGAGCGAGAUCCAAAAUGGACAGUAUCUCGCUAUGUCGCCUAUUACGUGUGUUAAAUUCUAUAAUAUAUUGAGACACAUAAUGUCAUGAACCAGAAGUUCAUUGAACCAAAUUAAUUAUUUUGGCAUGACUAGUUAUAUCAUAUUUUACCUACAGUGUUGUUUGAAAUUAGUAACAACUUUUGAUGCCUGUUAGCUAACGCUACUCAUAGCAAAUUGUUUAUUUGCUGCAUAUUUUUUUGUUGGUUUGUCACUUUAAUGAGACACUUCUCUUGUUAUGAAAGGGAUAAAGAUUGUUCCUGAAGAACAACAUGAAUUAUUGUGGAAUAUUUACCUAUUGUCUCAUUUUGAGCUUGAGGAAUAUCACAGCUAGUGACUUAAUAAAAACUAUUGAUGACAAAAUUAUAUGCUAGCGGAAGAAGAUUUACUUGAGUAAAAUCUUUGAGACCAACCAUAUUAACAAAAAUAACAUUGCCCUGUUUGAUUUGUGGGAAGAAUGAGAAUCUAAGUGACAUGGUUCUUUUAACGUGAAUGUCAUUAAAAAUGUCCGAGUUCCUAAUAUGGCGGCUACAAUAUUACACAUACAAAAGUUAAAAGUACACUAUCAGAGGAUGAUAUCUUGGUGGUACAAUUAUACAUCAAUAUGGUUGAUACUCAUGAAUUUAAUAUUUUUUGACCUUAAACUUGGUUUGGGUUUGCCACCAGCCAAUAGACAUCUUUACUCGAAAGUAAGUGAUAUACAUUUAAAUGCAUUUUUAUGCAUGGUCAAAAUAAGACAGUGUUUCCGCCGUUAGGGGGAGAGAAAAGACUACUGUCAUUUGAAUAACGGCGUGAAUUUGGAGUGGAAUGUAUCCACUAGGUCUAAAAUUUUAAGCUCCUGAAAAUGGAAGAUUAUACAUGUCCUAUAAUGUUUUAUGAUAUUAUGAAUAUAGAUCCACAUUCGUUAGAUAUAAUUCAUUUAUGAGAGAUGUUUGUCGUAGAAGUGACAAUAUUUGCCCCAAAAGUGGCAUGGGUACCCAAUAUUAAUAAGCUCAUAAUAACUAAUGCAUGCAUAUAAGAAUGUGUGGGAUCUAUGAAUGAUGAUCAUCGAUGAAAAUUUACAUAUGGUAGUUACCAAAGACCGUUAAGGACUGUAUGAUGCAAUACCACGUUUCAUUAUGAAUGUCGACAAUGCAUAUUAUUGGCCAAAUUGGAUAGAGGCAAUUCCAAUGAACUGAAUAUAUAAAACGUGAUGAGAUAAUUAGACCUUUAACCCUACAUGAUUCAAAAGGGUAUUAAUCACAGUGAAAAUAAAUCACUAUAUAUGGCACAAUGUCUACAAGACACAUGGGGAUUACAAAUAUCUUUCCUUAUACGUGACAAUUUUAUGUAAGUACAAUGUUACAUAUAGUUAUUGACAAAAGACUUACUGCAGUUGUCAUCGUAUAUUAUAAAGAUCUUAAAAGACUUUGCUAAAAGCAAAACCCCAAAAGUACAACGUCAUCAUAAGCGUAUCGCGUAUCAAAUCCUUAAAUGAUUCAAGUACAUGAAUGAUUCAAACGUAAAUCGAUCCAUGAAUACUUGAGAGAGUCUAAAUAUGAGAUUGCUUAUCGCUUAAGGGAAAUGACGUAAUGUGCCUUAUACAUGCAAACACAACUCCCAUUAGUGAGACGUGUCUUGGGUUGGAACCCAAUAAGAAAGCCAUGAGGAGGAGGCCCAAAGGCGAGCAUAUCUAGUUAUGCUGGGCUGUUAAACUAAAGUUAACUCAUGCAAUCUAUAGUCUAAAACUAGCUCAUAUAUAUUUAUUCUGUUAUAGUUAACGUGAUCAAAAUUGCCUUAAUGAGUAUUAUGAUUGGACUACAAAACCGAAUUCGGAUUAUGUUGCUACAUAUUCUAACUUUCGCGAAGUUAUGAAUUGCUUAAAGCUUUUAAAGAGCAUAUACGAGAUGUAUCAAUCAAUAAACGAAGAUAUUGAUAUGAGUGGCUCGAUAUGCCAUGCUAAUCUUCCAAUGGUUUUGAACCAUACAUAGUAAUGUGUUGAUUAGUUUCUACUGCUUAGUUAUUACAUAAUGUAUGAAUUUGAACAUGUGAGGUUGUUUCUAACAUUAUAACAUGAGGUAAGACCUAUUAAAUUGUAUAGCUCUGUUGGUAUUGUCUUCACUUUGCAGGUAUGAAAAUCUUGUGAUGAGCCCCUGUAUGCAAAAUGAAUAAGAUCUCACUUCAGUGAUAGACAAAUCAAACUGCUAUUUAUUAUACAUGAAGCUUGCAACGAUCACGGGGAGAAUCUCAUUAGGGGGAGCAUCCAGAAGUAUGCUACCUAGGACAUAUGCGCGUUGCACUCUUUUUCUCCUUUGACCAGGGUUGUUUUUUCCCACAGGGUUUUUAUUACCUGACAAGGUUUUUAACAAGACAACACUAAGAUCGUCCAACAUCAGAUUAUUAAUGGACAUCCAAGGGGGAGUGUUGUAAAUAUUAUAAUAUAUGUGGAUGUCCUUGUAAAUACUCAUUAGUUAUGUCCUUAAGAUGUAAAUCAUACUCCUAUAUAAAAAAGCCUAAUAAGAAUGAAAGUGACACUUCUUCCUCCUCCUACAUUUUGUUCUUCUCUUUUCUCUCUAUCUCAUUCUUAGUUUAUAAAAAGAACAUAAUAAGUGAUGAAAAGUGCAAAAAAGGGAAAGUCAUCCAUGUUCGGGUUUUUGGGCCUAAUGAAUUUGAAGCCCGAGCUUAGACCGAGCAUUAAGCAAUUGGGUCGAGAUUGACUUGGACCAAAAAAUUUCACUCUAGGCCUGGCCCAUUUAGAGUUUUUCAGAUUCAUGCAGUUGUCCCUAGUUGUAAAAUGUGUUGUGAUAAAAUUAAGUUGGAAUUUUAGGCCCCUCAAUGCCUAUAUUGUAGAUAUAAUGGGAAGUAUUAUCACGGAACAGAGUAUUGAAGGCCCCACUAAAAUAUUAUCAUCCAUCAUCAAGUUAGGCAACUCAUAAUCCAUAUUCCUAUUAUAAAAAAAGGUCGCCUAUGGUACUUAAAUGUAUGUAACUCUUAGUAAAACUAUAUAUACCAAAAUUACAAUUUCAUUGAACCAAAAUUACAACAGAGUUACCAUAUUCAUUUUACAUAUUAAGUCAUUAAUAUUUAAAUAACCAAGUUACAACAAUUUGUUCAUAAACUUAUAAAAAUGUCACAUAUGGAGAAAUUAAUCAUCUCUGAUAAAAUUCUAAUUACCUAAAAGAUGAUUUUAUUUAUCACAACGAUAACAAAUUUGUUCAAACCUUCUAUCAUCUCGUGGGAGUAAUUAUGUUGUUGUCAUUUUUCUCCAAUGAUAUUUGAAAUGAUGAAAUCUUGAUGUACCCUAGUGAAAUGCUAUUGGCUCAUAACAUUUAUAUUCCAAUCACCUAUAGUCCUAUACCCGGCUUCAAAUCCUCUGUUUCCCUAUCUCCUAUCCCUGUAACCCUAUUAAAAUUUGACAUUUAGCACUUUUUGCUUAAUCCUUAACACCCCUUCUAACCUCUGUUAACCUUGUUAAACCCUCUCACUAACUUUAAUUCUAACCCAACUCUAACUCAUCUCUAAUUUGUAAUUAAAUAUAGGGUAGUGCUUGAGGGCCUUAAUAAGGCCUAAAAUUUAUGGUCUUAAUCCUAUGUGGCAUGUCAUGUCACAUAGACACAUCAUCAAUUUAUUAAAUCAUGACGUUUCAUUCUUAGAUAAAAAUACAAUCUUAACCCUAACAAUUAAUGGAUGCUACAUACUAAUAUGAAAUAUUUUCUUACCAUUUUAAUAUGGAUGCAUAUACCAAAUUUAAUUAAUUUAUUAAUAAUGACCAAGUUAAUUAAUAAUCAUACCAAAUUAGGCUUUUAUACCAUAAAUUAAUUUCGUAAAUUUAUUAAAAUUUCCUUCUAUCUUUGUGAAUCGAAAUUUAGUUCUAGAUAUCUAUAUUCCAUAUUCUAUAUCGAAUUUUAAAAAUAAAAUAAAAAAUAGAAAAAUCUCUAUCGAACUUCUUUUGGAUGAUUACAUAUAUAUAAACUUUAUUUUUGAUGAAUUAUAUAUAUAUGUAAAUUUUUUAUUCUGUACGAAAUUGUUUUUUCUUGGACAAAUUAUAUAUCCGUAUAUAUAUAUAUAUAUAUAUCAUAAGAAUUUGUGUUUUUUAAUAAGUAUAUUCUCAGAUUUAUAUGUAUUUUUACACUGUAUUUUAGUGUUCAAUUUAAACAUGAUAGUGAUGAAAAAGAAAAGAAAAAAAAUACUAGAAAUUAUAUAUUUUUUAAAUAUAAAAGAAAGACAAAAAAUCAAUUUUUUUUCCUCUUAAUAAAAAUUCAAAAUAAUUUAAAGUAAUUGGAUUUAUAAAGAUAAGAUUGUCUUUUUGCUUAAAAAAGAUAUGACAUAAUCUUUUUAAUUGAUGAUGUGUUUAGGUGACAUAGGAGAAAUUUUUCAGUGCUACGGGAGGACCACGUGGCAGUCUGACGUGGUCCUACUUUCCAAUCAAAUUUAGACAUGUAGAUUUUCUUCACGAAAAAUUAUUUCAGCUAUUUUGUCAAAGACCAUUUUAGGUUUUCUGUUUUUUUUUUAAUACUAAACCCUAAGCCCUAAACCCCAAACCCUAAACCCUAAACCCUAACCCUAAACUUUAAACCCUAUACCCUAGACCCUAGUUUAAACUUGCUAAAUACCCAUGAAUGUCAUUUCACAAAAAAUAGAAAAUAUUUGUUUAUAUUUUAGUUGUAAAAAAUCCACAUGUCUAAAAUUGAUUGGAACGUAGGACCACGUCAGACUGCCAUGUGGUCCUCCCGUAUCAUUUAAAAAUUUCUCGUGACAUAGCAUGCCACCUAAGAUUAAGGUUAUAAAUCUUAGGCCUUAUUAAGGCCAAUAAUCAUUUUCCUUAAAUAUAUUUAGCAAAAUCUAGGUGGUGAUGACCCUCUUCUUCUUUUUUCAUUGACAAAAAAAAAAAAGAACUCCCUCUUUCUUCUUUGUUUGAAACUCCUCUUUCAAGUACAACAAAACUAGUUUCAUUUGCAACUUAGAAUGACAUACCGAAGAAGCUUUCCAAAAGGGACAAAAGUACAUGAACAUUAGUAAGCUUCAAGACAUCUUUGUUUAAUCCUUGUAUUAAUUUGUAGAAGAAAACUAAUGUACAGAUAUCAGAGGGGCAUGCAAUUGGAUAUUAGACAACUACAAUAAAACAACCAUACAAAUGAAAAGCUUCAGAAACUAAUUAAUCGAGCAGAGAAGAGUCCAAUGGAGGCUUCAAGACCAAUCUGACUCCUGGGCUCCUACUUAACGAACUUCACAAGAAAAUCCAUCUUCUUCUUUCCAAUCUUCUUGAAGGUAUAAGGAUAGUUGGCAAUCCUUCUAUCCCACAAAACAUCUGAAGUUACUAUUCUCUACCAAGAAGAACAAGCUCUAAAGUCAUUAACUCCCUCAUGGUCUCAGGUACAUCAUGCAUAUGCAUGUCAUGUGUUUUUCACAGAGGAUAGCAGCUCUGCUUGCUAUGCUAUCUGGUUCUGAGUCCUUGGUUGUCUUUGAUUUCAAAGAUCCUGUUAGCAUAUUCUAAUAGGUAUGUGCUUGGCCUUUAAAACUGUUAUGUAACAACUGAGUUUUUUAAAAGCCUUGGUGCUCAAAUCAGUCAUGGGUUGAGAUCUUGUGUUGUGCCAACCCGUGACCAAAUGUUUUGCGGUCCAUGGCUCCAGUAAGCCAUAAUGAUGCCCAGACCAAAGGUAAGGCUGGAACUGUCUGUGUCCAGACCAGUUCUCAUUGGCUGAGUCGUGGUCCAUUGAUGGACUGAGUAAGAGGUUGUAUAACCUUAUUACUCCAUGUUUAAAUCAAACAUGUUUUAGGAAAGGUAUCAUUGUGUCCUUGAGUUGGCUCGUGACAACUGUGUUGGAUCUGCAACAUAUCACUUCUGUCCAAAACCUUUCUGAAGCAAGUUGGCAGCUUUGCUGGCGUCAUUCCUUUGAUGCCUGUCUGCCUAUAUAUUGUUAUAGCUUUGGCUAUGCUCGUUGGUUGUUGAAAUUUGCUGUAUUGCAUUUUCAUUAAUUGAGUAUAGUUUCAUGCUUGCAUUGUUCAUGCUGCUCUAAGUCUUCCCUGUGAUUAUAAAUCUUAGAGCUUGAACUAAAAACUCUUUUUAUAAACUCAUAUCAUGUUACAUACCAUGAGGGAUGUGUAGUGCAAUCAAUCCAAGAAGUGUUCACGGUUGAAUCAGCUAGCUGAAUUCACGAACAAGGCUUCUGAAAUCGUUUCCAGCUGUGGCUGCUUAGAAACAAGAGAGGAGAUAGGUCUAGACUAGUUUGGGACUAGAUAGGAUAACAUAGUGUUGUUGUAUCCCUGGAUCUGUUAUUCUUGUAAUAAGUCAGUUUUAUAUAGUGGAAAGGUUUGUCCGUCAAGAGAAAAGGGGCACGCAGUUUUUCUCCCUGCUACAGGGUUUCUGCGAGGAAAAAACAUCCAUGCGUUGAUUAUUUAUUUACUGCUAUUUACUUACUGCAAAUUCGUGUUCUGUACCCUAGGAUAGCACAAGUCAUUGCUAUCCUCUGAAACAGUAAACGAAAAUUUGAAAAAUGCCUAUUCACCCCCCCUCUAGGACCUUUACUUCUUCUGUAGGGUCUGAGCCAAAACUGAAACACAAGAAGCCUAUUCUGUGCUAGCCUCACCAGCUUUCCUUGAGCUCUUCACCGUUCUCUCAUACUCUUCAGGAACCAACAUCGCGAUAUCAGCUAUGAUAGUAUCUCUUCAGGAGUUUCAGACCAAGAAGAAGAGGGUUUUUUUUUGUUGAUGAAAAAAGAAGAAGAUUGACGUUUGAUAUUCACCACCAGAUUUUGCUAAAUAUAAUUAAAUUUUAGAUUAGAGAUGAGUUAGAGGUGGGUUAGAAUUAAAGUUGGUUAGAGGGUUUAAUAAGGUUAACAGGGGUUAGUGGGUGUUAAGCUGAGUAGGCAAAAAUUGCCAAAUGUCAAAUUUUAAUAGAAUUCAGGGAAGGAGUAGGAAAUUGGUGACAGGAUCCCCUAUACCCACCUCUCACCAACCACUUCUUUACCAAAACAUGUUCAAUUUAUAGCAGAAUGGUCUGCAAUAACUUUUGGCAUUGCUGCAGGUCUAAAAUGUUUUCUUCAAAUAUUAACAAUCUUUCAUAUAUUCAUGGAUCAUUCCUACACUCAAUCCCAUAUUUAGGACAAUCUUUAGGUAUAUUAUAUUUCAUCUGCUUAAUCACACCUAAUCGGUGAUAAACCAUUUCCGACUUGUGAGAUUGCGAGUUUAUUGGCAAUAAGCAAGAUUAUAAUCUUAUAUAGAGCUCAACAGUUCCUCGAUCUUUAUUUCCCCCCAAUUCUGCUCAAUAUGAAUGAUAGAGGGAGGGGCUGGAAGGUUGCAAGUGAUGAAGGAAGCAUAGGAGAAGAAAACGACAGAGCUCGGCAACAACAGUUUGAAAUUUAAGUACUAUUAUUAAUUUCUAAAUAGACGAGCUACAUAGAUUGUGACCUAGGAGAUGACAUACAGAACGAUAACUUAAGGAUUCCUUCAUGAGGAAUCCCAAGUGGAUCUCAUAAACACCCACAACUUUAUUCUCACGUUAAUAAUAAUAUGAUCUCUGCGGCCGAAAAAUGACUUCUCGUCAAGCUCUUCAUUUCACACUGCAACACAAAACCACACGAAGUUAGCUUUCAUCGACUUCAUCAUAUCAUAUUGACAAAAGCAAACAGAUAACUAAAACAAGAACAAAGUGAAAACAAUCGAUAUUCUGCAGCACAAUGCUUACUUGUUGCAGUUGGUGGAGGUGCUGAUCUUGUAGGGAACGUUGACACCACACUUGCCGGGAAGACCGGCGGCGAGGUUAGCGUUAAGUCCCUUGAUGCUUCCAGCUGCACUCUUCAGGCAAUUGCAAGUUUGCUUGCGGUCAGCGGUGGUCUUGGCCGCGCUGUUGAGGCUGCGAAUUCCGUUGCAGCAAGCGGCAGGGACAGCG